GUGGAGAUUAUGUCCGGGUAAGACCCGAUGACUACGUGUGGAGAUUUUGUCCGGGUAAGACCCAAUAACUACGUGUGGGGACUAUUCGAGCUAAAGGUUUCGCUGAAGAUUCGAGUAAAGCAUAAGAUUAUACGACUUCACAGUAACAAUUGAUCUCAUUUGGAAGCUACAGGCUCGGGGAUCGUCAGCAACUAGUCACACUAUCACUAUCCACUGCUUGUUACUGUUAUGUUUUGAAUUAUUUUAUGGCAUGUAAAGAAUAGACCAGUGGCCGAAGAAUAUUUUGGUUAAUGUAUAUAAGCCAUGCGAAAAUGGCAUCUUUUGAA